rnacentral:tRNA from 1 species
GGGAAUGUGACUUAAUGGUAGAGUGCUUGCCUUGCAUGCAUGAGGCCCUGGGUUCGAGUCCUCAGCACCA